CUACUCUCUCCACGAUCCCCUCCCCUCCCCUCCCCUCCCACCCCACAUCGUCGAGCCUCGAUCUGGACGGAUCUUGCCAAUCCACACACGGAUCCGGCCUAACCAUCCCGCAGCUGCGCCGGUGGGCCACCAGGACGGCGGCGAGAACCACCAACCCAUGUUGAGACCUCAACGACGGUGGGUACCAAGAACCGAUGCUGCACCAACCACGCGCGUCACAAGGAGGGCGGGUGUGGUUGCUGCCGGAGCAGUGAACUCUGCGCUUGGCGCUGGACCAGCAGGGGCUGGGUUGGCCGCGACGCUUGAUUGGGUCGUUUCCAACUGCCCCGGCGUCGGUGGCGACGAGACGGUGCUGCCUUACUAUCAUCGUCACUUUUGAUUUCAGCAUCGGCCGGUGCCAGCGUCGAUGACAUAAUUUAUCAAUGGUGGGUUCAGUAGUAACUCAAAUCCGUUGCUCUGUAUGUGCCAGCGUGUGACGGAAAUUAUCAUUGGUGGGUCUGGUAGUAACUCAAAUCUGCUGCUAUGUUGUUUUCAGCCUGCUGCUGAGCUCUCUUUACUUUGGGCACUGUUUACCGGCAUCUCAAUCCUGACCUAGCAGGUCUGCUUACCAGCAUCAACAGCUGGAACAUGCACAUUAACUCGUUGACAUGUUUGGGCCAAACAAUAUGGAACAUGGAGGGUGUCUUGUCCUAAGACCUGAGCCAUUCACAUGUAUCGCAAUGCUUUCCCUUACCUCUGGUGCAUCAUGCAAAUGAUAUUCUGCAAUCCAGAAGAACUAGCUACUCAGAAGUGGAUGACAGUGAACAUGAGAAGCUAUGGUUUCCUGAUUUGUAGUUAUGUGUGGUGUUGUCAUGAAGCAUGGUGGUUCUGGCUUUGUGUAAAAUCAUUAUAAGUAUUGUACCUCUUUAGAGGAGUUGAACAUUGAACUAUGUAUGUGAUUCAUGUACCUGAAGUAUCCACUAUGAUGUCUAUUGCUGAAACGAAUAUAACAAUUUACUGAUAAUAUUAGUUUAU